rnacentral:rRNA from 1 species
UACGUAGGGGGCAAGCGUUGUCCGGAAUUAUUGGGCGUAAAGAGCGUGUAGGCGGUUUGUCGCGUCUGCUGUGAAAAUCCGGGGCUCAACCCCGGACUUGCAGUGGGUACGGGCAGACUGGAGUGUGGUAGGGGAGACUGGAAUUCCUGGUGUAGCGGUGGAAUGCGCAGAUAUCAGGAGGAACACCGAUGGCGAAGGCAGGUCUCUGGGCCAUUACUGACGCUGAGAAGCGAAAGCAUGGGGAGCGAACAGG